rnacentral:rRNA from 1 species
CCUACGGGUGGCAGCAGUGAGGAAUAUUGGUCAAUGGGCGCGAGCCUGAACCAGCCAAGUAGCGUGAAGGAUGACUGCCCUACGGGUUGUAAACUUCUUUUAUAAAGGAAUAAAGUGAGGCACGUGUGCCUUUUUGUAUGUACUUUAUGAAUAAGGAUCGGCUAACUCCGUUCCAGCAGCCGCGGUAAUACGGAGGAUCCGAGCGUUAUCCGGAUUUAUUGGGUUUAAAGGGAGCGUAGAUGGGUUGUUAAGUCAGUUGUGAAAGUUUGCGGCUCAACCGUAAGAUUGCAAUUGAUACUGGAAGUCUUGAGUACAAGUGAGGUAGGCGGAAUUCGUGGUGUAGCGGUGAAAUGCUGAGAUAUCACGAAGAACUCCGAUUGCGAAGGCAGCUUACUAAACUGCCACUGACAUUGAUGCUCGAAAGUGUGGGUAUCAAACAGGAUUAGAUACCCGAGUAGUC